rnacentral:rRNA from 1 species
AUUGAACGCUGGCGGCAUGCCUUACACAUGCAAGUCGAACGGCAGCACGGGAGCAAUCCUGGUGGCGAGUGGCGAACGGGUGAGUAAAGUAUCGGAACGUGCCCAGUCGUGGGGGAUAACGUAGCGAAAGUUACGCUAAUACCGCAUACGAUCUAUGGAUGAAAGGGGGGGAUCGCAAGACCUCGCCCGAUGGGAGCGGCCGAUAUCAGAUUAGGUAGUUGGUGGGGUAAAGGCUCACCAAGCCGACGAUCUGUAGCUGGUCUGAGAGGACGACCAGCCACACUGGGACUGAGACGCGGCCCAGACUCCUACGGGAGGCAGCAGUGGGGAAUUUUGGACAAUGGGCGAAAGCCUGAUCCAGCCAUGCCGCGUGCAGGAUGAAGGCCUUCGGGUUGUAAACUGCUUUUGUACGGAACGAAAAGGUUUGGCCUAAUAAGCUGAGCUCAUGACGGUACCGUAAGAAUAAGCACCGGCUAACUACGUGCCAGCCGCCGCCGUAA